rnacentral:rRNA from 1 species
GACGAACGCUGGCGGCGUGCCUAACACAUGCAAGUCGAGCGGGGAUGAUGGAGAGCUUGCUCAAAAUCAUUCUAGCGGCGGACGGGUGAGUAACGCGUGAGCAACCUGCCUUCUACUGGGGAAUAACGCACCGAAAGGUGUGCUAAUACCGCAUGAGACCACAGAACCACAUGGUUUAGGGGUCAAAGAUUUUAUCGGUAGAAGAUGGGCUCGCGUCUGAUUAGCUAGUUGGUGAGGUAACGGCCCACCAAGGCGACGAUCAGUAGCCGACCUGAGAGGGUGAUCGGCCACAUUGGAACUGAGAAACGGUCCAA